CUUCGGUCCGGCUGCGGUUGGCGAUCUCCUCAUACUGGGCCUUGACCUCGGCCAUGAUGCUGUCCAGGUCCAGGUUGCGGUUGUUGUCCAUGGAGAGGACCACGGAGGUGUCAGAGACGUGGGUCUGCA
rnacentral:miRNA from 1 species